GGCCCAUUAGCUCAGUGGCUAAAGUGAGCGACUCAUAAUCGCCAGGUUACUGGUUCUAGUCCAGCAAGGGCCAGCA
rnacentral:tRNA from 1 species